rnacentral:misc_RNA from 1 species
AAGUCGUAACAAGGUUUCCGUAGGUGAACCUGCGGAAGGAUCAUUAACACGUAUCCAACGUUAAACCCCCCCACGUGAACAUUAACCCGUCGACUCGCCCACCCGCUUAUCAGCAAACCCUAGUAAAUCAUCGCCACCAGUUUUGAUUUAGGGUUUCGCAGUACGCCGGUGUGGUUUGUAGCGACUUUUACGUUCUCAGCUUCUCCGGGGCCUGCAUAUGGAUGGCGAAAGUGCCAUAUGCAACGUCGACGAGAGGGACUAAGGUCGCACUAGAGGACGACACGUCCGGUGCCUAGAACAGGGCAUACGAGCCCCCCUUUUAACCCAGUCUCGAGUCGGGCGUACGGUAACUCGUUAGCCCACCAAACGAACAACUGUUAACAAUGGAUAUCUUGGUUCUC